UCAUUACCGAGUUAUCCAACUCCCAACCCCUGUGAAUCAUACCUUUAAUUGUUGCUUCGGCGGCACUUCGCGCCCGCCGGGGACCCGAACCUUCUGAAUUUUUUAAUAAGUAUCUUCUGAGUGGUUAAAAAAAUGAAUCAAAACUUUCAACAACGGAUCUCUUGGUUCUGGCAUCGAUGAAGAACGCAGCGAAAUGCGAUAAGUAAUGUGAAUUGCAGAAUUCAGUGAAUCAUCGAAUCUUUGAACGCACAUUGCGCCCGUCAGUAUUCUGGCGGGCAUGCCUGUUCGAGCGUCAUUACGCCCCUCAAGUCCCCUGUGGACUUGGUGUUGGGGAUCGGCGAGGCUGGUUUUCCAGCACAGCCGUCCCUUAAAUUAAUUGGCGGUCUCGCCGUGGCCCUCCUCUGCGCAGUAGUAAAACACUCGCAACAGGAGCCCGGCGCGGUCCACUGCCGUAAAACCCCCCAACUUUUUAUAGUUGACCUCGAAUCAGGUAGGACUACCCGCUGAACUUAAGCAUAUCAAUAAGACGGAGGA
rnacentral:rRNA from 1 species